UAUCACAGCAAUUUAUUAGGGUGAAGUCAAGGCUUGGCCAUAUCGAGCACAAGCAGAGGCCCCACACCUAUUGAAGGUCCCAGCAGAUAUCUGUCCACUGCCACUGCUGCCCAUCACCACCCAGACUCACAGACCUCACUUGUGUGGAGACUUGUGGCCUUCAGAAAUCAUGGGCGAACUCAGGAAACUCGCUUUUGGAUAUUGCAGUGGAAAGUGAUUCCUCUUUCAGCAAGAGAGAAUACUACCAAAGAAGAAGAAGAAGAAAGAAUCCAGCAAUCAGAACUUGGACAGCAAAUUAAGCUCUUAUUCAAAGAUUAGUUCACAUCAUCUGCACUCCAUUAAAUGUUCUCCCUAGCCAGAGGAUAUAAUGCCAGCAAUAUCUUCAAGGGGGAAUAGCUUCUGCUUCUGCCAAGUGUUUUCAAUUUGCUGGCUCUCGCAGUGGUGAUAUUGGGAGUCACGGACCAUGGAUCUAGCAAUUCCGAGCACUCUGCAUUUUAAGGGAUUAUUCACACAGAGUGCAUCUAUUUCAUUUGGAUAUUAAACUAUGGUUGAUGACAAAUUUGUAAGGCAAUCAAAUACAGGGGCCCUGUUCAGACAUGGGCGGGCGGGAAAGAUGCUGUACACACGUACAGAAUCUGUUUUAUUUUAUUUUAUUUUAUUUAUUUAUUUGGUCAACUUAACACAUUUAUAUAUCAUCCCAUAUAAAAUCUCAGGGUGGUUUACUACUUAAACCUAAGAGUAAUAUAACACAGAUUAAAAUGCUCCCGGCUGGCAUCUGCCUCUCAGUCUCCUUGACAGUUUUUAGGAAAAAGUAAAGAUAUGGCUUGUCACCCAAGCAUUUGAAUGAAACUUUGUGUUUUAUGUAUUAUUUUAAAUGGGUUUUAAAAUGUGUGUGUGUGUGUAUAUAUAAUUUUUAUAUUUGUAUUAUCUGUAAUUUUGUAUUUUAAUUAUGUAUUGUUUUAAUUUUAUUGUAAACUGCUUUGAGAUC